rnacentral:rRNA from 1 species
CCUACGGGCGGCAGCAGUGGGGAAUAUUGCACAAUGGGCGCAAGCCUGAUGCAGCCAUGCCGCGUGUGUGAAGAAGGCCUUCGGGUUGUAAAGCACUUUCAGCGGGGAGGAAGGCGUUAAGGUUAAUAACCUUGGCGAUUGACGUUACCCGCAGAAGAAGCACCGGCUAACUCCGUGCCAGCAGCCGCGGUAAUACGGAGGGUGCAAGCGUUAAUCGGAAUUACUGGGCGUAAGGCGCACGCAGGCGGUCUGUCAAGUCGGAUGUGAAAGCCCCGGGCUCAACCUGGGAACUGCAUUCGAAACUGGCAGGCUAGAGUCUUGUAGAGGGGGGUAGAAUUCCAGGUGUAGCGGUGAAAUGCGUAGAGAUCUGGAGGAAUACCGGUGGCGAAGGCGGCCCCCUGGACAAAGACUGACGCUCAGGUGCGAAAGCGUGGGGAGCAAACAGGAUUAGAUACCCGGGUAGUC